GCUGGGCAUGGUGGUAGACACCUGUAGUCCCAGCCAGUCUGGAGGCUGAGGCAGGAAGAUGGCUCAAGUCCAGGCAUUCUAGGCUAUACUGCAUUAUGAAGAAUGAAUGUCCACACUAAGUUUGGCAUGAAUAUGACUGGCAAUAUCCAGGGAUCAGGGGAACAGCCACUUUGCCUAAGGAGGGGUGAAUUGGUCCAGGUCAAAUCUUUUCAGGUGCUCAAAUCUCUCAUGUUAAUCAGUAGUAGGAUGAUGUCUGUGAGUAGCUACUGUACUCCAACCUGGGCAACUAGUGAGACUCCUCCUGUUAU
ensembl:misc_RNA Metazoa_SRP Metazoan signal recognition particle RNA